rnacentral:lncRNA from 1 species
UUGGGUUGAGAGAAUGUUAAACGUGAUGAGCAUUGUUUACUCAUCAAGAGGACCUACAGCUGCAAUUGAGGAGGACGUGCUUUCACAUGGAUUAAUUCAGCUGACGUUUCAUAGUGAUUUUGGUUAAGGGUUUCUCUGAGUCGGGCUGGCGACCUUAAAACUAGCGUUGCAUGGGAGGCAACCCAUGUUGUUCUUCUUAGUUUGUUUUUCGUUUCUUUUUGUUAUGUUUUUCUUGUUCUUUGCUUUUCGUUUUUCGUGUUUCCUUGUUUUUUUUUGGUUGCAUGUUCGGUUUCUUUGAUUCUGGGUGUUAAUGUUUUUAUUUCCAGCGUUGCAAUUCUACUCUGACUUUGCCGCCAGCGUUGAAGAAUGCCAGCUCUGAAAAGUCCAGAUCCAGACCUGAAAUUCCACUCUGAAAAGGACCAGCGCUGACAUUUCUACUCUGCCGAAGGCCGCAAACCCUACUUUUCGCCGCCCCUCAUAGCACUUCGGUCUUUCAUUGCCAAUGAUCAG